rnacentral:rRNA from 1 species
AGUGAACGCUGGCGGUAGGCCUAACACAUGCAAGUCGAACGGCAGCACAGUAAGAGCUUGCUCUUACGGGUGGCGAGUGGCGGACGGGUGAGGAAUACAUCGGAAUCUACUUUUUCGUGGGGGAUAACGUAGGGAAACUUACGCUAAUACCUCAUACGACCUACGGGUGAAAGCAGGGGAUCUUCGGACCUUUCGCGAUUGAAUGAGCCGGUGUCGGAUUAGCUAGUUGGCGUGGUAAAGGCCCACCAAGGCGACGAUCCGUAGCUGGUCUGAGAGGAUGAUCAGCCACACUGGAACUGAGACACGGUCCAGACUCCUACGGGAGGCAGCAGUGGGGAAUAUUGGACAAUGGGCGCAAGCCUGAUCCAGCCAUACCGCGUGGGUGAAGAAGGCCUUCGGGUUGUAAAGCCCUUUUGUUGGGAAAGAAAAGCAGCAGGUUAAUACCCCGCUGUUCUGACGGUACCCAAAGAAUAAGCACCGGCUAACUUCGUG